rnacentral:rRNA from 1 species
CGUCCUACGGGGGGCAGCAGUGGGGAAUAUUGGGCAAUGGGCGCAAGCCUGACCCAGCAACGCCGCGUGAAGGAAGAAGGCUUUCGGGUUGUAAACUUCUUUUAUGAGGGACGAAACAAAUGACGGUACCUCAUGAAUAAGCCACGGCUAACUACGUGCCAGCAGCCGCGGUAAUACGUAGGUGGCAAGCGUUAUCCGGAUUUACUGGGAGUAAAGGGCGUGUAGGCGGGACUGCACGUCAGAUGUGAAAAUUAUGGGCUCAACCCAUAACCUGCAUUUGCACAUGAGGUUCUUGA